UGCAGUCGAACGAGACCUUCGGGUCUAGUGGCGCACGGGUGCGUAACGCGUGGGAACCUGCCUUUAGGUUCGGAAUAACUCAGAGAAAUUUGAGCUAAUACCGGAUAAUGUCUUCGGACCAAAGAUUUAUCGCCUUUAGAUGGGCCCGCGUUGGAUUAGCUAGUUGGUGGGGUAAAGGCCUACCAAGGCGACGAUCCAUAGCUGGUCUGAGAGGAUGAUCAGCCACACUGGGACUGAGACACGGCCCAGACUCCUACGGGAGGCAGCAGUGGGGAAUAUUGGACAAUGGGCGAAAGCCUGAUCCAGCAAUGCCGCGUGAGUGAUGAAGGCCUUAGGGUUGUAAAGCUCUUUUACCAGGGAUGAUAAUGACAGUACCUGGAGAAUAAGCUCCGGCUAACUCCGUGCCAGCAGCCGCGGUAAUACGGAGGGAGCUAGCGUUGUUCGGAAUUACUGGGCGUAAAGCGCACGUAGGCGGCUUUUUAAGUCAGGGGUGAAAUCCCGGGGCUCAACCCCGGAACUGCCCUUGAAACUGGGAAGCUAGAAUCUUGGAGAGGCGAGUGGAAUUCCGAGUGUAGAGGUGAAAUUCGUAGAUAUUCGGAAGAACACCAGUGGCGAAGGCGACUCGCUGGACAAGUAUUGACGCU
rnacentral:rRNA from 1 species